rnacentral:rRNA from 1 species
UACGGAGGGUGCAAGCGUUAAUCGGAAUUACUGGGCGUAAAGCGUGCGUAGGCGGUUCGUUAAGUCUGUUGUGAAAGCCCCGGGCUCAACCUGGGAAUGGCAAUGGAUACUGGCGAGCUAGAGUGUGUCAGAGGAUGGUGGAAUUCCCGGGUGUAGCGGUGAAAUGCGUAGAGAUCGGGAGGAACAUCAGUGACGAAGGCGGCCAUCUGGGACAACACUGACGCUGAGGCACGAAAGCGUGGGGAGCAAACAGG